ACUGAGCGGCGGACGGGUGAGUAACGCGUGGGUAACCUGCCUCAUACAGGGGGAUAACAGUUGGAAACGGCUGCUAAUACCGCAUAAGCGCACAGUACCGCAUGGUACGGUGUGAAAAACUCCGGUGGUAUGAGAUGGACCCGCGUCUGAUUAGGUAGUUGGUGGGGUAACGGCCUACCAAGCCGACGAUCAGUAGCCGACCUGAGGGGGUGACCGGCCACAUUGGGACUGAGACACGGCCCAA
rnacentral:rRNA from 1 species